GUGGCUCAGUGGUAGAGUGCUUGCCUUGCAUGCAUGAGGCCCUGGGUUCGAUUCCUUGGUAUCACA
rnacentral:tRNA from 1 species